ACAUAUCAGUAAAAUGAUCAUUGGACUGUUCAUUUUAUUUUAACAACAUAUGUACUAAAAAKAAUUUUGACAACAAAYAUAUAUCAGCUGUAGCAGCAUCAAAUGAAUUCUGGCAUUUUACACAUAGUCCACCAGGAUGCGCCAACACAAAAGUCAGAGACUUUCACAUGGUGUUUCAACACUUGGUGCCCCACAUCAUAUACAUUUAUCCUUUUUACCUGCUACCUGCUUUUUACCUGGUAUUUGUCUCCAGUAGUGAUGAACACUGGGCAGUUCUACCAUGAAAAACUGUACAAACAUUCCAGUGGUUAGAUGAAAAUUAAAUCUAAAUUAAGGGUUGUAAGGUAGCAAAACCAAAAGGUGUUUGAAACCUGCAGUCUGUUCCUUCUGACGUUUCAUUCUGCUGCAAGAAGCCCAAACUUUUCUGACRAAUGGGAAGUCUCACUGCUGUCCUUAGGUAUCACGUAAACAAAAACCAACAAACACAUUUUAUGUCAGAUGAAAGCGAGCCUGCAGCAUGUUUCUGUGCUUCCUAUUACAUCUUCCCUUUAUGAGACCAAUGGGGACAUUGUGUUUGUGAGUGUGUGCUCUCAUAGAGACACUGUACUCUCUCUGGCAGUAUCUGGCACCAAAACCAGCUCACAGCAGCUGCACUGGACACAGGCCAGAUCUUCAGAACAUCCAACCAACAACUAACCAAUGAAUGAUUGACUACUUUUUCAAUUACAGAAACGUCCACUGGGGUUUGUGGUUGCAGCCUCUGAGACAGCAAGCCACACCAUGGUGUCAGCCCCCUGCUCGGGUGUCCGAAGGCUGUCCUUCAUAGAGCGAUGGAAGUCGGGCAUGGCGUUGGCCACCGCUGAGACACACAGGCGAGUGGACGGUCACCUGGAGUGUCCACCCAGCCGGGGUGCAUGACAGAAAAGUGGAUGUUGGUGUGAGUUUUUGCCAGCUGCUCCGUCAUCA